AGAGUUUGAUCCUGGCUCAGAUUGAACGCUGGCGGCAUGCUUUACACAUGCAAGUCGAACGGCAGCACGGGUGCUUGCACCUGGUGGCGAGUGGCGAACGGGUGAGUAGUGCAUCGGAACGUACCCAGUAGUGGGGGAUAACUACCCGAAAGGGUGGCUAAUACCGCAUAUACUGUGCGCAGGAAAGCAGGGGACCGUUUGGCCUUGUGCUACUGGAGCGGCCGAUGUCAGAUUAGCUAGUUGGUGGGGUAAAGGCCUACCAAGGCGACGAUCUGUACCGGGUCUGAGAGGAUGAUCCGCCACACUGGGACUGAGACACGGCCCAGACUCCUACGGGAGGCAGCAGUGGGGAAUUUUGGACAAUGGGGGCAACCCUGAUCCAGCCAUGCCGCGUGAGUGAAGAAGGCCUUCGGGUUGUAAAGCUCUUUCGGACGGAAAGAAAACGGAUGGGUUAAUACCCUGUUCGGAUGACGGUACCGGCAUAAGAAGCACCGGCUAAGAACGUGCCAGCAGCCGCGGUAAUAC
rnacentral:rRNA from 1 species